rnacentral:tRNA from 1 species
GCACGAGUGGUGAAAUUGGCAGACACGCUAGAUUUAGGCUCUAGUGCUUAACAGCAUAAGGGUUCAAGUCCCUUCUUGUGCACCA